UAUGUACAUAUUUAUGAAUAUAUUAGACUAUAUAUUCUUCUUUUCUUCUUGGCUGCUUGAGCUUGACUCAUUAAUUGACUGAUUGAAAUUAAGUCUCAGAUCUCAAAUCUGAAUCUAAAUCUUUACGAUUUAAAAAAAAAACAAAAAAAUUUCACACGUAAAAAAACUGCGAUGAAAGAACGACGAAAUUGAAGCUAUUGAAGAUAGAGUUACAGCCAAAUUUAAUAGACCAAGCUAUAGGCAUUGAAAUGAGGUAUACAGUAAAUAUAUACAGCAAGAUAAUUUAAAGAAUAGCAUGAUCCUCCACAAUAAGCUCCAAACAAUAUCUACAUGUCAUACUACUACAAAAGGGUUGGCAUAAUUUA